rnacentral:rRNA from 1 species
UAGUCCACACCGUAAACGAUGAAUGCCAGUCGUCGGGCAGUAUACUGUUCGGUGACACACCUAACGGAUUAAGCAUUCCGCCUGGGGAGUACGGUCGCAAGAUUAAACUCAAAGGAAUUGACGGGGGCCCGCACAAGCGGUGGAGCAUGUGGUUUAAUUCGAUAAUACGCGAGAAACCUUACCUAGGUUCAAUGUGUGACGACCCUUCAAGAGAUUGAAGUUUCCGCAAGGACGUCACACAAGGUGUUGCAUGGCCGUCGUCAGCUCGUGCCGUGAGGUGUUUGGUUAAGUCCUAUAACGAGCGCAACCCCUAUGCUUAGUUGCCAGCACGUAAUGGUGGGAACUCUAAGCAGACUGCCUGCGAAAGCAGUGAGGAAGGAGGGGAUGAGGUCAGGUCAUCAUGACUUUUACGCCUAGGGGCUACACACGUGCUACAAUGGCGUGUACAAC